rnacentral:tRNA from 1 species
GGUAAAAUGGCCAAGGAUAACCAUUGAACUGUAAAUUCAAAGACAGAGAUUAGAUAUCUUUUUUUUUACCA